CGAAACGUUUCUCCCACAAAACGCUACGUCCAGAUGAACAGAAUCAACUUUUUGGAGAAUGUUUAGUUCAGUUACUUUGAUAUUGAGAUCCAGUUUUCCCCUGUUGAAUAAUCUUUUAGUCUUAUAUUCCAAUAAAUCAGAUUAAAUUAAUCUGAUUAUGUGUAUUUAUGUAUGUAUUUAUUGGCCAUACAUUUUCCCAGUAAAACAUGUGAAACACAUAUUUUACAGCGUAUCAAGCUUUCAUUUCAUCAGCUUGAUUGCCUUCAGAUAGUAUUCAUUAAAACCACUUUAACUGAUGCUGGGGUGUUACCAGUUUUAUUUUUCUUUAAUAAGUUAGACUCCAAACCUAUAUUUGCUCCAAUGGCCAUGAGUAUUAAAUCAGAAAUGAAAAGGUUAUGAUUUUUUUCUUGGAAUAUGACUGUUUUUGAGAAAUCCAUGCAUUCAGAUACUAUUGCUGAGUAAUUCUCUGUAAUGAACUCAAAAAUGUUUUUUUGUGUGUGUUUCAGAUGGAUUCCCGAUGAUGGAAGAAGAAAACCAGUCAAGAAAAUGUAAGUAAAAAAACAAAAUGAGAGCAUGUAUUUAGCUUUAAUUAACAGGAGUGUUUUUUCAAAAGGUUAACUGAUGGAAAUUCUUAUUUUCUUAUUGUCUGUAACACCAUCAGUUAUAAUUUGCUGUGUUAGAAUAAAAUAAGAAAAAAUAAGCAUGCAUUGUCUUGGUAGAUAUGAAGGAAGUUUAAGGCUUAGUGGAAGAGACUGUAUAACAAUGUUUAGUUCAGUUGCUUUGAUAUUGAGAUCCAGUUUUCUCCUGUUGAAUAAUCUUUAAGUCUUAUAUUCCAAUAAAUCAGAUUAAAAUAAUUUAAUAUAUAAAACCAUAUAUUUUCUCUGUAAAACAUGUGAAACACAUACUUUACAUCAUAUUAAGCUUUCAUUUCAUCAGCUUGAUUGCCUUCAGAUGGUAUUCAUUAAAACCACAGUAAGUGAUGGUGUGGUGCUGCCAGUUUUAGUUUUCUUUAAUAAGUUCGAACUGUUGUAAACAUUUGAUUUUGUUGUGGAGCUCUUAUAUAAUUAUUACAGUUUUAAGAUGUAAUUUAUGUUUGCUUACUUAUUACUUUAGCUGGAGUUGAACUGUAGCAAAAGUCAAAUGUAAAAAGAAUGCCAACUGAAAAGCUGUGUUAGGUCUAAUAAAGACGUGUCAAUAGUUUAAUUGACUUUACAUUUCAGGGAGGUAUGAAUGGCAAAGAACUGAAGAAAUGACAAAAGAUAUGUUUUUAAAUACUACCAGUUUUGUAUUUGUAAAUCACAAUUUCAAAGUCAGUACUUUAGUUGUUCUUUUUAUAAACAUAUGAUGCAAUUUCAUCCCUCUUUUAUUUUCCUCGAUAUAUAACACUCUCAUUUUCUUUUGAAUGUUGCUGUUCUUGUUAUCUUUGUAUUAAUUGUAAUCAUUUUUUAUUUUGAAAUCAUAGCAUAUACCUGACCUUCUCCAUACAUGGGGAGCUACCUGCUGUGAUCACUGUUUGUGAAUAAAGGGGCAGCUGAAAGUAGCUUUUAGAUCAUUUGGUAUUAUUUCAUUUUCAUUGUUAAAUCAUGAAGUGACAUCACAUUUUUACAUGAAAAAUUAUAUCAAUUUAGACAUACACACAUAUUUGUAACUAUAAAUGCAAGAAAAGUAUAUCCAUAUAAUUGUCAUUAUAAUCUCAAACAACUCCAGGAUCCAAAUUUUGGUUACAUUUUAAAAGUUGAAGCCACAUUAGGUUUACAAUCAUAUAAUGGCCAUGAGUAAGUUAAUAUGACUAUUUUUGACAAAUCUGUGCAUUUAGAUACUAUAUCUUAAGGAAUUAUCUGUAAUUACCUCAAACUUUUUUAUGGUUUAACAAUUUCAGAUGCAGACCCAAGAACAAUGAUGGCAGCAAAAGCACGAAGGAAAUGUAACAACUUGAGAUCAUAUGGUAUUCAUUAAGACCACGGUAGCUGAUGAUGUGGUGUUGACAGUCUUUAUCUUUAUUAAUUUUCCAGCUGCUGUGCCUGAGCAGCCACCCAGAGACCCUUUGCUGCAGUUAGUCUCCCUGCAGGAGGCGUCUGGCUGCUGGCUGCUUGAUCCAGCUCUGGCUGCUGCACUGGGACAGACCAACGAGGAGGUGGAAAAGUCAAAGCCUGAAAAGACCAGCGGUGAAGUGUGGGCCACCAUUCUGGCUCUGAUCUGGCUUCAUGGUUUCAAGAUGGAUGCAAAGGACGAGUGGGAGCUUCUGGCUAUGAAGGCUGCCUCGUGGCUCUGUGCUCACAAUGCACCGUGUGUGUCAGAGUGUGUGGAUGCUGGAAAUGUCCUGCUGGGUUGCAGCGUGAAGAAAGAAGCUCUGGGACUCUGAGGGUUUUCUUAAAGUAGCUUCAUCUUCAGAGUGAACAGAAGCAGGUCUGCUUACUCCACACUGCCUUUGAUACAGAGCUGUUUUAUAUCAUCAACCCCUUUUACAUGUUUAUUUGUCAUGAAUUAUGUACCUAAUAUUGGUUUUACCAUUGUGGAAAAAAGUAUGUCAAAAUUGUCUGAAUACUCCUGACACAGUAGAAGAUUGGACCACUGCUGUGGCAGCUCAUUCACAAAGUGUUUUAAUUCCUUUUCUCUGCCACUAGAUGGCGAUUAUGUUCAUACUUUUACUGAUUUCACACAGAAACACCAAAACCAAUCUAAGAAGUCUUUUCCCUUCCUGUUAUAGUUCUGAAAAUGGCUUCAGUUCAGGACAUUUUCAAGAUGGUCCUCAGUGAAUUGGAGUGAAUAGAGCAAAACUUUUAAAAUAACUAUUUACAGUGUUUACACCAUCUUCUAAACAAAAAAGUCUAUCCUAGCUUUUAUUUUUUAAAAAGUAAUAUUUUUAUGGCCAAAUUGAAAUGAAACUAUACAGAACGUCAUUCUGUUUCUCUCGCAGGAGUUACAAUUUUAUCCAUGAAACACUUUCAUUCUGCUAAUUGACACCGAUUGAUCCUUGAACGUCUUAAGACAGCAUAUAGUCUUCAUUCAUGUUUGCUUACUCAUGUAGUUUGAGUUGAAUCUGAAUUUCCCAAAACUUCCCAAUGACUUUCCAAAUAAUACUUAGCAUAAAAAAUUUGAAAAUUUAUGUUUGGUCUCUCAUUUCUUUGUUUGUGAUUCAGCUAAUAACACAAGGAUUUCAUAAUUUUUGAAGCCACACUGAAAAUACUCAGCAAUCUGUGCAUUCAUGAGUCGAUGUAAUACCGGUAGCUUAGCUGUAGCAUUUGUAAGGCUUCAGCUUCAGGUUACAAGGAAAUGACAUCAUUCACGUAGAUUACUGAUUAGCAGUGCUAACUCGAAAUUUCUAGUUACUUUUCUCAAAAUUUUGAGUUAAUAAGUCAAAGUUUCGAUAAAAUAAGUCGAAAUUUUGAGUUAUAGAUGCUUUUUUUU